UCACAACUUUAGGGGUGUCUGUAGACAUACAGACUGAGACUUUACCCUUUGAACCUGAUCUGGAUUAUACCAGCGUAGGGAAAAGUAAAUGACUUUUG
rfam:Chryseobacterium sp. BLS98 contig01, whole genome shotgun sequence.